CCAGACCUUCAAAGACAAAAGAAGAGACGUCAGGGAAGAAAACCCAUCCCAGCAGAAAAUCAGAAAACCAUUGUUUCAAAAGAAAGAAAGGACCAGAGGGGAGCAGUGACCAGGACUAAAAGUGCUUCAGCUUUGUACCAAUUCUCCCCCUAUUGGCCUUGACUGAUCAGAAUAAAGCUACAGAAUAUUA